rnacentral:rRNA from 1 species
UACGAAGGGGCUAGCGUUGCUCGGAAUCACUGGGCGUAAAGGGUGCGUAGGCGGGUCUUUAAGUCAGGGUGAAUCCGUGGAGCUCAACUCCAGAACUGCCUUUGAUACUGAAGAUCUUGAGUUCGGGAGAGGUGAGUGGAACUGCGAAGUGUAGAGGUGAAAUUCGUAGAUAUUCGCAAGAACACCAGUGGCGAAGGCGGCUCACUGGCCCGAUACUGACGCUGAGGCACGAAAGCGUGGGGAGCAAACAGG